UUCAUGCUCUCUUCACUAUCAACUAACAUGAUCGCACUUCUAAUUUUUUUAAAACAAUAUUCGGCCACAAGGGCCCUUAUAUUGAAUAAGGAAAAUCGAAAAAAACAAAUGCAAAAUGGAAAGCGUCUACUCUAGAAAGGGAAAGUGCGAUAAGAGAAAAAAAAAUCCUAGACUAGAGAGUAAAAAUUGCAAGCUAAGAUUCCUCAAAUGUGUUCCAAUCUUCACUUCAAUGGCCAUCUGCGAGGUGAUCCUCUUGUGUCUGCUGCUGAAGACCGUGAAUCGAUGAUGUAUUGCACAAAUUUGUGUUGUGUGAGCUCGUUUGGCUGUGUUCAUGCCCACAGGUAGACAGGAAGGUGAGCUUGAUCCGGACCCGUAGGAGCCAGUAGCUGAUUGAGAGCACUCCAUCGUUCGGAGGUGCUUAUGAUGAUUAUUUUGUGUAUAUUCAUGUAUAUGUAUUUUGGGCAUGACGGGGUCUUGUCCCGUCCUCAUGUCUACCACUCUAGUAGAGGCUCGUAAAUACGCAGUGUGGGUUAGAUGGUCUCACGAGAUUGCUACUAUGUAUAUGUAUUAUUUUGAUGGCCGAAAGGUUAUGUAUAUAAAUGUAUUUAUGUUUUCAAAGUAAAUAUGACUUUCUCACGA